rnacentral:miRNA from 1 species
ACCCGGCAUACAUUGUAGGAUU